GAUUACUUUGGCGAUGUUUUUUUGCGAUUUCAACUUUUUGAAACGUGAACAUCUUUGGUGAAUCUUCUUUCAUCGGAGGGACAUAAAUCUCAGAUUUUUAUUAAAAUAUCUCAGCUUUUCUUUUGAAGAUGAACGAAAGUCUUAGAUGGUUUGGAGCAUCUUAAGGCUUCUGCAAGCGUGUAUGGCGUCUGGCUUUUGGAACCUCACUGUGACUUCAGGUAAGAUUUAAUUAACGUUAUUUGUCUGUGCCAGUCGUGUUUUUGACAUGCAUUGGCAGA